AUGUGAUGUCAUAACCAUUGUCCACCAAAGAGCAGCACUGAGCAGAAAUAACACGGCUCCUGUUCAUUCUCCAUCAGUGAGGGGCCGGUGCUGGACACUGUGUAGGGACGCGGGAAUGCAAAGUCAUACACAUGACUGUGACUGAUGCACUAUCUCCAGGACAUGGAGUAGCAUUUCCGGACCUACAGCAAGACGUUGGAUGAAGGCAUAGCCCCAGAAAUAACACUGGUCCUGUUCAUCAGUGAGGGGCCGGUGCUGGACACUGUGUAGGGACGCGGGAAUGCAAAGUCAUGCACAUGACUGUGACUGAUGCACUAUCUCCAGGACAUGGAGUAGCAUUUCGGGACCUACAGCAAGACGUUGGAUGAAGGCACAGGCCUAGGAAUCAUGCACAUACACAGAAACAUUUGGCCAAAUUCUAGAGGUAACCUCCUUUAGUAUGCCCAGAGGAAGGGCCAUACAGUAGCCAUGGAUUCCCUACAGGUUUCCUCCCCUCUGGAGGUUUUUCCUGUCCUGAGUAUUAGUUACUGUCCGCUCUUUGUGAGUGAUGGGAGGUUACAAAAAUCCCCUACACAAACAUUUUAAUAAAUAAUAAAUAAAGUUCCCCUUUUUUUAAACUG